GGGGAAACCCAGGCUAAUACCGCAUACGUCCUACGGGAGAAAGGGGGCUUMGGCUCCCGCUAUUGGAUGAGCCUAUGCCGGAUUAGCUGGUUGGUGAGGUAAUGGCUCACCAAGGCGACGAUCCGUAGCUGGUCUGAGAGGAUGAUCAGCCACAUCGGGACUGAGACACGGCCCGAACUCCUACGGGAGGCAGCAGUGGGGAAUAUUGGACAAUGGGGGCAACCCUGAUCCAGCCAUGCCGCGUGUGUGAAGAAGGCCCUCGGGUUGUAAAGCACUUUCAGCGAGGAAGAACGCCUGUCGGUUAAUACCCGGCAGGAAAGACAUCACUCGCAGAAGAAGCACCGGCUAACUCCGUGCCAGCAGCCGCGGUAAUACGGAGGGUGCAAGCGUUAAUCGGAAUUACUGGGCGUAAAGCGCGCGUAGGUGGCUUGAUAAGCCGGUUGUGAAAGCCCCGGGCUCAACCUGGGAACGGCAUCCGGAACUAUUAGGCUAGAGUGCAGGAGAGGAAGGUAGAAUUCCCGGUGUAGCGGUGAAAUGCGUAGAGAUCGGGAGGAAUACCAGUGGCGAAGGCGGCCUUCUGGACUGACACUGACACUGAGGUGCGAAAGCGUGGGUAGCAAACAGGAUUAGAUACCCUGGUAGUCCACGCCGUAAACGAUGUCGACCAGCCGUUGGGUGCCUAGCGCACUUUGUGGCGAAGUUAACGCGAUAAGUCGACCGCCUGGGGAGUACGGCCGCAAGGUUAAAACUCAAAUGAAUUGACGGGGGCCCGCACAAGCGGUGGAGCAUGUGGUUUAAUUCGAUGCAACGCGAAGAACCUUACCUACCCUUGACAUCCUGCGAACUUGUGAGAGAUCACUUGGUGCCUUCGGGAGCGCAGAGACAGGUGCUGCAUGGCUGUCGUCAGCUCGUGUUGUGAAAUGUUGGGUUAAGUCCCGUAACGAGCGCAACCCUUGUCCCUAUUUGCC
rnacentral:rRNA from 1 species